rnacentral:rRNA from 1 species
AGAUGUGGUUAAGUCCGCAACGAGCGCAACCCUUAUUGCUAGUUACCAUCAUUGAGUUGGGGACUCUAGCGAGACUGCCAGCGAUAAGCUGGAGGGAAGGUGGGGAUGACGUCAAAUCAUCAUGCCCCUUAUGACCUGGGCUACAAACGUGAUACAAUGGCUGGAACAAAGGGAGGCGAAGGGGUGACCUGGAGCGAAACCCAAAAAUACAGUCUCAGUUCGGAUUGAAGUCUGCAACUCGACUUCAUGAAGUCGGAAUCGCUAGUAAUCGCGGAUCAGAACGCCGCGGUGAAUACGUUCUCGGGGUUU